rnacentral:lncRNA from 1 species
AAUCAAAACACAUACAGGUUCGUGUUGUGUUUAUAUAUACGUCUUAUUUAUUGUGGAUCUGGAUGCGAAUUGAGGAUUUAAUUCAGAGUAUAAAGAUAAAGUAAUUUUACCAAAUCAGUGCUUUUCUUUAGAUUCUGGUGUUAUAAUUUUGCAACGUACCUUGAUUACUUGAAGCUUGGAAGAUGUCAAACUCUGAUUUUGAUAACUUUCCAGUUUGUUUCAUUUCCAAAGAGAAGAAGGAGAUUUAGCCGUUGUUUGAGCACAUUUUUGGGGAAAUAAUGAAUUUUUGAAUAGUGUAUUGAUAGAAAAUGUGUGGUUAAAA